rnacentral:rRNA from 1 species
GACGAACGCUGGCGGCGUGCUUAACACAUGCAAGUCGAACGGAAAGGCCCUUCGGGGUACUCGAGUGGCGAACGGGUGAGUAACACGUGGGUGAUCUGCCCUGCACUUUGGGAUAAGCCUGGGAAACUGGGUCUAAUACCGAAUAGGACCACGCGCUUCAUGGUGUGUGGUGGAAAGCUUUUGCGGUGUGGGAUGGGCCCGCGGCCUAUCAGCUUGUUGGUGGGGUAAUGGCCUACCAAGGCGACGACGGGUAGCCGGCCUGAGAGGGUGACCGGCCACACUGGGACUGAGAUACGGCCCAGACUCCUACGGGAGGCAGCAGUGGGGAAUAUUGCACAAUGGGCGCAAGCCUGAUGCAGCGACGCCGCGUGAGGGAUGACGGCCUUCGGGUUGUAAACCUCCUUCAAUAGGGACGAAGCGCAAGUGACGGUACCUAUAGAAGAAGCACCGGCCAACUACGUGCCAGCAGCCGCGGUAAUACGUAGGGUGCGAGCGUUGUCCGGAAUUACUGGGCGUAAAGAGCUCGUAGGUGGUUUGUCGCGUUGUUCGUGAAAACUCACAGCUUAACUGUGGGCGUGCGGGCGAUACGGGCAGACUAGAGCACUGCAGGGGAGACUGGAAUUCCUGGUGUAGCGGUGGAAUGCGCAGAUAUCAGGAGGAACACCGGUGGCGAAGGCGGGUCUCUGGGCAGUAACUGACGCUGAGGAGCGAAAGCGUGGGGAGCGAACAGGAUUAGAUACCCCGGUAGUCCACGCCGUAAACGGUGGGUACUAGGUGUGGGUUCCUUCCUUGGGAUCCGUGCCGUAGCUAACGCAUUAAGUACCCCGCCUGGGGAGUACGGCCGCAAGGCUAAAACUCAAAGGAAUUGACGGGGGCCCGCACAAGCGGCGGAGCAUGUGGAUUAAUUCGAUGCAACGCGAAGAACCUUACCUGGGUUUGACAUGCACAGGACGCCGGCAGAGAUAUCGGUUCCCUUGUGGCCUGUGUGCAGGUGGUGCAUGGCUGUCGUCAGCUCGUGUCGUGAGAUGUUGGGUUAAGUCCCGCAACGAGCGCAACCCUUGUCCUAUGUUGCCAGCGGGUUAUGCCGGGGACUCGUAGGAGACUGCCGGGGUCAACUCGGAGGAAGGUGGGGAUGACGUCAAGUCAUCAUGCCCCUUAUGUCCAGGGCUUCACACAUGCUACAAUGGCCGGUACAAAGGGCUGCGAUGCCGUGAGGUGGAGCGAAUCCUUUCAAAGCCGGUCUCAGUUCGGAUCGGGGUCUGCAACUCGACCCCGUGAAGUCGGAGUCGCUAGUAAUCGCAGAUCAGCAACGCUGCGGUGAAUACGUUCCCGGGCCU